AGUGAACGCUGGCGGUAGGCCUAACACAUGCAAGUCAAACGGCAGCACAGGAGAGCUUGCUCUCUGGGUGGCGAGUGGCGGACGGGUGAGGAAUACAUCGGAAUCUACUCUGUCGUGGGGGAUAACGUAGGGAAACUUACGCUAAUACCGCAUACGACCUACGGGUGAAAGCAGGGGACCUUCGGGCCUUGCGCGAUUGAAUGAGCCGAUGUCGGAUUAGCUAGUUGGCGGGGUAAAGGCCCACCAAGGCGACGAUCCGUAGCUGGUCUGAGAGGAUGAUCAGCCACACUGGGACUGAGACACGGUCCAGACGCCUACGGGAGGCGGCAGUGGGGAAUAUUGGACAAUGGGCGCAAGCCUGACCCAGCCAUACCGCGUGGGUGAAGAAGGCCUUCGGGUUGUAAAGCCCUUUUGUUGGGAAAGAAAUCCAGCUGGCUAAUACCCGGUUGGGAUGACGGUACCCAAAGAAUAAGCACCGGCUAACUUCGUGCCAGCCGCCGCCGUAA
rnacentral:rRNA from 1 species